CUUUCAUUAGGUAUGUUUAUUGUGAAACAUUGCUGUCAGUGAUUUUGUGGUUUCUCGGUAAGAUCUAAUUCUUAGAAUUACAAGAAAAUGGCGAAUGAAGAAGAAAACUCAAAACGCUUGGAAACAACGUCAUUUGCGUCUAAGUUGUGCAAAGAUAUCUCUUCUCUGUACUUAAAAAAAACAUUUUCGGAUGUUUGCUUUAUUGUUGAAGACCAAAAACUUUACGCCCACAGAAAUAUUCUGGCUGUAAGAAGUCGAUAUUUCGAAAAUCUUUUAAGUGGUGGUUUGGAGGAACCUAAACAGGAAGACAUUACAAUAAAGAACGUCCCACUAAAAGCAUUUAAAAUGCUGCUGAGAUAUAUAUACACAGAUGAAAUACUCGUGACGACGUCUAAUACCGAGUUGGUCUCCCAAGUCUUCGCUUUGUCAUGCUUAUAUUCCAUGCAGGACCUCCAAGAUGUGAUAAUCUCAAAGCUGAAGCCAAUCGAUUUGGAUAAUGUUCAUCGCAUCUUGAACAUGGCGCACUUACACGAUAAAGCAGAACUGAAAAAAGUUUGCUAUUCAUUUCUCGAAGAAAAUCCUUCUGAAUUUCUCAGCGGAAAAUUUUGCGAUUUAACUCAAGAGUCGCUGGUUGGAUUAAUGCAGAACGACAAUUUUUGCGCUCCCGAGAUUGAUAUUUUUAGAGCCAUUGCGAAAUGGGUUACGAAAAAUAAAAACGGUGAUAAUUCGAUGUUCCAGUAUGUUAGGUUGGGGAGGUUAAGCAUCGACGAAAUUCUUGGGGAAGUUUGGCCCAUGGAUGUUUUUACUGAGAAAGAGUUGCUUGACGCCAUCGCGGAAAUCAGAGGCAUUUUUCCUAGAAAAACCACCCAGAGGGGAGUUAUAGUUCCGGAUGAAAAUGUGGCUAGUUGUGAUCGAGGAGGGGAAGUGUUAUGUCAGCCAGCAGAAGAGAGUGGUGAAAUAUGGCACAAAAUCAAAGCUGAUGAUAAUAUUGUUGUUAAGUUGCCGAAGCCGACUGUGAUUAACCACAUCCAUAUGAAACUACAAACAACUGAUGACAGACACUAUAGUUAUUACGUGGAAACAUCACUAGAUGAAGCAAAGUGGGAGAAAAUUGUUGAUUAUAGGCAAUAUCCAUGUCGUUCAGUACAAGAUUUAUUUUUUGAAGAUGUAGCAACCCGUUAUAUAAGAGUGGUGGGAACUCACGGUAAAGAAACUGAUAACUUCCGAUUAUCGUCUUUGGAAGCAUAUUAUAAAGCAGUCAUUCCAUCAACGAUAAACAACUUAAUUCGACCAAUUUCAAACAUAGCUACUGAAGAACACGGCGCCGUUGUUGUUCAAGGUGGUAACAGAGAGUAUUUAUUGAAUGGAGAUACGACGAAUUACACUCCUCACACUGGAUUUACAUACCACCACAUACGUUCCCUAAAUUGUAUUUUAAUUCAAUUAGAAUUUACAGCGCAGCCCUUCGUUGUUUCAAGCAUGAAAUUACUAUUAUGGGAUUUAGACGAUAGAAAAUACAAAUAUUUCAUCGAAACGUCUGUAAAUAAUGUCACUUGGGAAAUUGUAGCAGAUCGCAGGAACGAAAAUUACAAAUCUUGGCAAAAUAUUCGCUUUGAUGAACGUCCUGUUGUUUUCAUUCGAAUUAUUGGGACGGAUAACACUGCUAAUACGGAUUUCCACUGCGUUCACUUUGAAUGUCCUAGUAGGCAGUGGCGGCUUUUCAGGUGAAGUUACUGAAGUGGCACUUCACCUAUUUUUUUCAUAAUCCAUUUUUCUAAUUUUUUUCUCAAGUCUAAAUAUAAUUAGUUACACUGAGGUUCGACUAGCAUCUAGAAUUAAGUAAUAUUAACGUCGAUGAAAAGCGCGUCAAGUAAAAAUUGCAAAUAGUGCAUGCAAGUGAAGUGUUUAGUUCAGCAGCGUGACAUAUCGUCUCAAACGUAAGGUUGCUAUGGCAACCGUAGCAUCCCCCACCCCCUCCAAGAUCCGCCGGUACCCAUUACAAUCGUAGAACUGAAGUUGCGAGUCGAGAAAAUAACUAAUAAAUAAUUUCCGAAAAGGCAACUUAGAGGAAUUGUACUUAUCCGUCAUGGAAAUAGACUGGUCAUUAAUUACGAACGAACAUGACCUUGAAUCGGCCUGUGAAAAUUUUUACAAAAAAUUAUUUGACACUAUUGGAAAGUAUGUACCAAGAUGCACACACAAGAUGCAAAGCUCAAAUUAUCCAAUAUGGUUCACGGGUUCUAUAAUUAAAAAAAUUAAAUUAAAAAACAAACACUGGAACACCUACAGAAAAACUAAAUCAUCGUAUCAUUUGGACAUGGUAAAGAAACUAAGAUGCGAAAUUAGGCGGGAAAUUCGUACGGAAUAUAGUAAUUUUAUUAGAAUAUCAGAAGGCUCGCUACAACAUGAUCCUACAAAGUUUUGGAUGUUCGUAAAUCAGAAGAGAAGAACGACGAGUAUUUCGGGCCGUAUGGUUUACAAUGACAAUGUUUUAACAAGACAACAAGAAAUUGUUGAUGCCUUAGCUAGUCAUUUUUCAACCACGUUCGUCGGUGAUAAAUCCAAUCAUGUCUGUGAUAACCAGUGUAGCAAUAAUCUUGUAAAUUUCUGUGAACACUGUGGCAAGUAUUGUUGUCCUUCCUUGAAAAUUGAUACACCCUGUAAUGGUGCAACAGUUUUGAACAUGUUCUACAUUAGUCAUGAAGAGAUUUUAAAAGCGGCCAAAAGAAUGAAACCGAACAACGUAUCUGGAGCGGAUAAUCUUCCCGCCUUUCUAAUUGUCGACUGCAUAAAUUACCUGUUGCCGCCAUUAUGUCACAUAUUUAAUUUAAUUCUACAAUCAUGUGCAUGUCCGAGUGCAUGGAAAAUCUCUCGUGUAGUUCCCAUAUUCAAGUCAGGUGAUAAAGAAAAUGUAAAAAAUUACAGACCUAUUGUUCUUAUUUCAAAUAUCGCAAAAUUAUUUGAAUGUAUACUGUCUGAUAUUCUUUAUUCACAUGUUGCACCUAACAUUGCGCCUGAACAGCAUGGCUUCGUCAAGGGCCGAUCAACAGUGACUAAUCUGUUUGAAUAUACUCAAUUUGUAUCAGAAGCGUUAGACAAUCGUUUGCAAGUGGAUGCCAUAUACACUGACUUGAGUGCGGCAUUUGACAAGGUGCAUCAUUGUAUUUUAUUAAAAAAACUGAAAAGUUUUGGUUUAUGUGAUAGUUUAAUAUUUGUUAUUAGAUCUUUGUUAACAGGCAGACAUCAAUUUGUGAGUUAUGGUGGAUUUAAAUCGAAUAGGUAUUGUGUUAACAGUGGUGUGGGACAAGGGUCAAACCUAGGACCACUCUUGUUUAAUAUAUUUUAUAAUGAUGUUGUGAAAUAUUUAAACUGUAAGACACUUAUUUACGCAGAUGAUUUAAAAAUGGCAAAGGUUAUAACGAAUGUUGAAGAUUGCAUUGAAUUACAAAAUAGUUUAGAUCGUUUACUUAACUGGUGUGAUGAUAACUUGCUAACUGUUAAUAAAACUAAGUGCAAAAAAAUAACGUUGGCCAGAAUACAUAAUCCAGUUAAUUUUUAUUAUAACAUUAGAGGAUACGUUCUAGAAAACUGUAAAGAAGUAUUAGACUUAGGUGUCAUUAUAGAUAGUACGCUCUCUUUUCAUUCACAUGUUAUACAUAUCGCAAAACAUGCUAUGAAACUAUUAGGUUUUAUUUAUAGAAAUACGAAAGACUUCUCUAAUACUCGAUGCAUUAAAUUAUUAUUUUAUACAUUGGUUAGAGCAAAAUUAGAAUAUUGCUGUACAGUAUGGAAACCUUACCAUGUAACAUAUAUAGAUCUAUUAGAGAAUGUACUGAGAAAGUUUGCGAAGUAUGUAUAUUUUAAGAUGUUUGGUAGAUAUCCUGUCAGACACUGUGAUCAAAGUAGUUUACUUGACAUUGUUAGUGAAAAUUCUCUACUUAGUAGGAGGAAUAUGUCAUGUUUGAUAUUUUUACAAAAAAUUGUAACGGGACAAAUUUAUAGUCAAACUCUUCUCAAUGAAAUUAAAUUUAAUGUACCCAGAUUAGGCAGCCGCUUCCAGAUAAGUUUUUCAUAUAACAUUCCAAACACACUUCACCACUUCAAUAGUCCUCUAAUAGCUUGUAUUCGUUUGUAUAAUUAUAUUAUUAGCAGAGAUCAAAAUAUUGACAUUUUCUUUAAUAAUUUUUGUAACGUUGGGAUUAGGAAUAAGAUACUGAAAAUUGUAGUUGCUGUGUUGUAAUGUCGUUGUAUCCACUAGAGACAUAAUUGUCUGCUGGAAAUAAAUUUAAUUAUUAUUAUUAUUAUUAUUAACUGUAUCUUCAAUUGAGUCACUACUCAGUGUUGUAAGUUGAGUUUUGUUCGGUAUUUUGCGCUGGGUGCAUGUUAGAAAUUGCAAUUUUUGCUUUUGUAAAAGUGCUAAAAACGAUAAUAAUUAGUAAAUAGGUAUGAUACAUAUAUUUUUUAAUAUUUAUGAAAAUUGAAAACCGUUGUUUUAGUAGUAUCUUCGCCCAUCAAAAUGAGUAAUCCGGUUAAUGACAUAAUUUGCAUUUUGUUGGAGACCCCAUUUUUCAAAUGGAAGGAUGAUGAUCAAAAAGAUGUUUUAAGUUGUGGUCGUCCUGUUGAUAUUUUGAGCUUGAGUGCGACAAAAAACGCUCCGAAAAGCAGAAAGUCUUACACACUUCACUUUAAGUCAACCUGGUUUUCGGAGUACCAGUGGUUAUGUAGUAGCAAAACACUUCAAAAAUUAUUCUGUUGGCCCUGCUUGUUGUUCAGCAAUAAAAAAAAUGUUUGGAACAGAGAAGGUUUUUCAGAUUUAUUAAAUAGUACUAGAUCGUUUCGUAUCCAUACGGAUUCGGCAAAACAUAUCAAAUCUGCGUUGAAAUUGAAAACAUUUGAGAAAAAUCGUACCACAAUAGCCGAUGCUCUUCAAGAAAAUGCAAAAUUAUAUGUUGUUAAAUAUAAUGAAAAUGUGCGAUUAAACAGGCUAGUUCUCCGCGUAGUUCUAAACGCAGUUUUAUAUUUAGCAAAACAAGAGCUUUCAUUUCGUGGUCACGAUGAAAGUAGUUCCUCCAUGAAUCGAGGAAAUUUUAAGGAGUUACUGAAAUUGCUAAUUUCAAAUAGCCCUUUGGAAAUUCAAAGUCAAUAUGCAAAAAUAAAAAAUAUAUUCAGUGGCGAUUCAAAAACAAUUCAGAACGAACUAAUAGAAUGCAUAUCAGAUUAUAUCAAUGAUUUUGUUUAUAAUGAAAUAAAAGAGGUUUAUUUUUUUUCUGUCGAAGUAGAUGAUACUACAGAUAUCACACAGGUUUCACAGUGCUCAGUCAUAGUAAGGUAUGUGAAUUCACUUGGCCUAGUAGUUGAACGUUUCUUGGGGUUCUACGAUGUAAGCGAAGAUCGAUCUUCAGAAAGCUUAUUUAACCUAUUAGAUAAUAUCUUGGACAAAUUUGAUUAUAAAAAAAAAUUAGUGGGACAAUGUUACGACGGAGCGAGUGUGAUGGCUGGACAUUUAAAUGGACUUCAAAAAAAGAUUAAAGAUAAAGCCCCUCAAGCACUCUUUGUACAUUGUUUAGCUCAUAGACUUAAUCUUGUUCUGCAACAGAGUUUUACAAACAUUUCAAAAUGUCGCAUAUUUUUCUGUAGUAUCGGAGGUAUUCCUCAGUAUUUCCACAAAUCAGCAAAGCGUACACAGGCACUGAAUUUAUCAUCUGCGAGGCGGAUACCAACUAUAGCACAAACACGUUGGUCAUCAAAUUCUAAAUUACUUAGAGUAAUUGUUGAAGAUUGGGAUAAACUGAAAUCAGUUUUCCAUCAAAUAAUUGUUGAUAAAACAUCGGACAGUCAUUCCGUGCAACAAGCUAAAGGAUAUUUGCGUGAUAUGAAUAGUUUUGAGUAUACUUUUUUGGCUGUAGUAUUUCAUGAAAUUUUUUCCGUAACAGAUAUUCUAUUUGACAUUUUGCAAAAGAAAUCGUUGGACAUACGUUAUUGUAUUUCGAAAAUUAAAAACACCACAAGUAUUUUAAAAGCUAACCGCAAUGAACAAUUUUAUAAAACAUUGUUUGAAAAAGCACAGAAACUAACAGUGAUUACUUACACACGCAAUUUAGGCCAAGAGGAUAUCUUUAACGAUUACAAAAUUUUAUAUUAUGAAAUAGUUGACCACAUUUUAAUGGAAAUGGAUACUCGAUUUCAAGACACCGAAAGGUUACAAUUUUUAUGUCUUGUAGACAAUACUAAAUUUAAAAAUUAUACUUCUUCUUUUCCAUCUGAUGCUGUUGAUAAUUUGAAAAACUAUUUUGGUUCCAUAUUUACGAACAUGACACGUUUGAAAAACGAACUUGGUCUUAUUUAUGGAGAUGAAUCAUUUAGAAAUAUUUCGCUAGAAAAACUACUUCAAGAACUUCAUGAAAGUCGAGAUAUUUUUGUAGAAGCAUACAAGUUGUUUUCUUUAAUUUUGACUAUUCCAUCUACAAGUGUCUCAACGGAAAGAAGUUUUUCGUGUUUAAAGAGAAUAAAAAGUUAUUCUAGAAAUACUAUGUCUCAAGAGAGAAUGUCUUCAUUAGCGAAUAUUUCCAUCCAAAAAGAGUUAUUACAUAAUCUCACCGAAAAUCAACCAUUCUACGAUGACAUCACUGACAAGUUUGCAAGUCUCAAAGACAGAAGGAUCGAUUUAAUAUACAAAAAAUAAGACCACGAGCCGCCACUGCUAGUAGGGAUUGCAACGAGAUGAAUGCCCAAGUGGCAUCGUAAAAAUGCAAGAAACUUAUAAUACAUUUUUCAUUAAAAUAUUUUGAAGGAAA